UACGUAGGGUGCAAGCAUUAAUCGGAUUCAUUGGGCGUAAAGAGCGUGUAGGCGGGAAAGAAAGUUAGAUGUGAAAGCCCGGGGCUCAACUCCGGAACUGCAUCUAAAACUCCUUUUCUAGAGGAUGGACGGAGAAAAUGGAAUUCCACGUGUAGCGGUGAAAUGCGUAGAUAUGUGGAAGAACACCAGUGGCGAAAGCGAUUUUCUAGUUUAGACCUGACGCUGAGGCGCGAAAGCCAGGUGAGCAAACAAG
rnacentral:rRNA from 1 species